rnacentral:rRNA from 1 species
CAAUAGCGUAUAUUAAAGUUGUUGCAGUUAAAAAGCUCGUAGUUGGACUUCUGCGGGUGGCGGCCGGUCGUGCUCGAAACGGGCGUGAACUUGGCGUGCUGCCCGCAUCUUUGGGGAGAUUGUGCGUGGCAUUAAGUUGUCGUGCAUGGGAUUCUCAUCAUUUACUGUGAAAAAAUUAGAGUGCUUAAAGCAGGCCUUUGCCUUGAAUACAUUAGCAUGGAAUAAUAAGAUAGGACCGUUGUCUAUUUUGUUGGUUUACAGAUGUCGGUAAUGAUUAAUAGGGAUAGUUGGGGGUAUUCGUAUUCAGUUGUCAGAGGUGAAAUUCUUGGAUUUUCGGAAGACGCACGACUGCGAAAGCAUUUACCAAGGAUGUUUNCAUUAA